CUCGGGGUUGGAGGAGAGAGUUAUUUUGGAAUUUUCAUCCUGGAGAGCGGCGGAUACGAGAGGGAUGUUCAACUUGGAAGCGGCGGCUUCAGCCGGCUUGAUGCCUUCGGCUGGGAUUAAUAACAGCUUGGAUUCUGAAUCAGAAAGGUAAAACUCAAACUCCUCGGCAGUAUAAGCUGAGUUUAACGGCGCGGCGGUUGCACGGCAACGAAUUACAGCCAAGAACAUAAUAACAAGCUAUAUAUGAAAAAAAAAGAAUUAUUUUUUCAGUAACUAAUAAUAGUAAAAUAAAACAAGGCAACUCGAAGCCUCUGUUUGGCAGCUCAGUAAAUGAUGGAAACCAAACAAUGAAAAAACAGUAUCACGAAAAAUUAAAAUUAAAAUGAGAAAGAAAAGAAAAUUUGAUCUUUUUAUAACCUAAUAGACAAAGACAUUUUAUAUGCGUUUUGCUUUCUUUCUUUUUUAACUAAAGAAGGGUUUUUUAUUUGAAGGGAAAACAGUUUAACACGUAAAAUAAUUAAAAGCGACAAUUUUAUUUUCUUCCUCCGUAUUUUCUCAUCGACCAAACAGAAUCUGAUCCUAAUGAUUCAUUCAAGAAGGUUUUAUUGAUUGAAACGUAAGAAGAAAAAGAAAAAAAAGUAAACAUACCUCCACGGUGUUUG
rnacentral:lncRNA from 1 species